rnacentral:rRNA from 1 species
AUUGAACGCUGGCGGCGUGCUUAACACAUGCAAGUCGAACGGAAAGGCCCCAGCUUGCUGGGGUACUCGAGUGGCGAACGGGUGAGUAACACGUGGGUGAUCUGCCCUGCACUUUGGGAUAAGCUUGGGAAACUGGGUCUAAUACCGAAUAUGACCACUUCUUGGAUGUUGUGGUGGAAAGCUUUUGCGGUGUGGGAUGAGCCUGCGGCCUAUCAGCUUGUUGGUGGGGUAAUGGCCUACCAAGGCGGCGACGGGUAUCCGGCCUGAGAGGGUGUACGGACACAUUGGGACUGAGAUACGGCCCAGACUCCUACGGGAGGCAGCAGUGGGGAAUAUUGCACAAUGGGCGCAGGCCUGAUGCAGCGACGCCGCGUGGGGGAUGAAGGCCUUCGGGUUGUAAACUCCUUUCGCUAUCGACGAAGCCACUUGUGGUGACGGUAGGUAGAUAAGAAGCACCGGCUAACUACGUGCCAGCAGCCGCAGUAAGAC